AUUGAACGCUGGCGGCAUGCUUUACACAUGCAAGUCGAACGGCAGCGCGGGCUUCGGCCUGGCGGCGAGUGGCGAACGGGUGAGUAAUACAUCGGAACGUGCCCAGUAGUGGGGGAUAGCUCGGCGAAAGCCGGAUUAAUACCGCAUACGACCUGAGGGUGAAAGCGGGGGAUCUUCGGACCUCGCGCUAUUUGAGCGGCUGAUGGCAGAUUAGCUAGUUGGUGGGGUAAAGGCCUACCAAGGCGACGAUCUGUAGCUGGUCUGAGAGGACGACCAGCCACACUGGGACUGAGACACGGCCCAGACUCCUACGGGAGGCAGCAGUGGGGAAUUUUGGACAAUGGGCGAAAGCCUGAUCCAGCAAUGCCGCGUGUGUGAUGAAGGCCUUCGGGUUGUAAAGCACUUUUGGCGGGAACGAAAAGGACUGUGCCAAUACCACGGUUCGAUGACGGUACCCGCAGAAUAAGCACCGGCUAACUACGUG
rnacentral:rRNA from 1 species